rnacentral:lncRNA from 1 species
CGACUGCCCGUCAGCGUCCCGCGGAGAGGAUUUUGCGUCUCCAAAGACGCCCCUCUUCCGAAAACAGGCUCCUCUGUGUUCUCAGUCGGGUAUAUUUUUCUGUCUCCAAACUAGAUUGGCAGCCGUUUUUUGAGAGCAGGAUGGCACCUGACUUGAAGAUAGCACCUGACUUGAAGAUGGCACCUGACUAGCAUUUGGACUGGUUUGCAGGCUGAGCACAGGGUUGCUCCAGGUGGGCCCAAAUGCUGAAGAGCCUCAUGUUAGAGUUUUUCACCUCUGCGAUGGAACUGUGGUGGACUCCA